rnacentral:rRNA from 1 species
GUGGGAAUGUACCUACUGGUUCGGAACAACUGCGGGAAACUGCAGCUAAUACCGAAUAAGCCCGCAAGGGGAAAGAUUUAUCGCCAGUAGAUCAGCCCGCGUAGGAUUAGCUAGUUGGUGGGGUAAUGGCCCACCAAGGCUCCGAUCCUUAGCUGUUCUGAGAGGAAGAUCAGCCACACUGGGACUGAGACACGGCCCAGACUCCUACGGGAGGCAGCAGUUGGGAAUCUUGGACAAUGGGCGAAAGCCUGAUCCAGCCAUGCCGCGUGAGUGAUGAAGGCCUUCGGGUUGUAAAACUCUUUCGACGGGGACGAUAAUGACGGUACCCGUAGAAGAAGCUCCGGCUAACUUCGUGCCAGCAGCCGCGGUAAUACGAAGGGGGCUAGCGUUGUUCGGAAUUACUGGGCGUAAAGCGCGCGCAGGCGGUUCUCCAAGUCAGUGGUGAAAGCCCGGAGCUCAACUCCGGAAUUGCCAUUGAAACUGUUGAACUUGAGGACGAGAGAGGUGAGUGGAAUUCCCAGUGUAGAGGUGAAAUUCGUAGAUAUUGGGAAGAACACCAGUGGCCGAAGGCGGCUCACUGGCUCGUAUCUGA